GUGCCAAGCAGCCGCGGUAAAACCAGCACCUCAAGUGGUCAGGAUGAUUAUUGGGCCUAAAGCAUCCGUAGCCGGCUCUGUAAGUUUUCGGUUAAAUCUGUACGCUCAACGUACAGGCUGCCGGGAAUACUGCAGAACUAGGGAGUGGGAGAGGUAGACGGUACUCGGUAGGAAGUGGUAAAAUGCUUUGAUCUAUCGAUGACCACCUGUGGCGAAGGCGGUCUACCAGAACACGUCCGACGGUGAGGGAUGAAAGCUGGGGGAGCAAACCGGAUUAGAUACCCGGGUAGUCCCAGCUGUAAACUAUGCAAACUCAGUGAUGCAUUGGCUUGUGGCCAAUGCAGUGCUGCAGGGAAGCCGUUAAGUUUGCCGCCUGGGAAGUACGUACGCAAGUAUGAAACUUAAAGGAAUUGGCGGGGGAGCACCACAAGGGGUGAAGCCUGCGGUUCAAUUGGAGUCAACGCCAGAAAUCUUACCCGGAGAGACAGCAGAAUGAAGGUCAAGCUGAAGACUUUACCAGACAAGCUGAGAGGUGGUGCAUGGCCGUCGCCAGCUCGUGCCGUGAGAUGUCCUGUUAAGUCAGGUAACGAGCGAGAUCCCUGCCUCUAGUUGCCACCAUUACUCUCAGGAGUAGUGGGGCGAAUUAGCGGGACCGCCGCAGUUAAUGCGGAGGAAGGAAGGGGCCACGGCAGGUCUGUGAUGCCC
rnacentral:rRNA from 1 species